AUGCAUCUUGAAUGAUACUCUGCUUGUGAGAGACAUCAGACCUAAGGGGACCCAGAGCACAUGCUCUAUCCAAGUUCCCACACCUUCCUGCAGCUACUCUACCACCUUCUCCCAGAAGCAGCAAGGAAUGGUGCAGUUUUUCACCACCUAGUCUAGGAUGAACCUCCAGUGGUCUCAGAAGUAACUACAUGACUACUAUUGGGGUUAUGCUGGUUCUCCCUUGAACCAAGGUCAAGCACAAGAUUGCAGAGGAGGUCCUCAUACAGACUGACACAAGAUCCUGAAAAUACAGCCCUUACAAGAAACCACUGGGUGUGGUCAUCUUCCUCUUCAUCAUCAUUGUAUAUUAUCUAGUCUGAGUUGUUAACUCCUGAAUGAGUUGGAGGUCUGUUUUGGGCUGGGAAGCCAAUGUUUAACUGAUACUAAUCCACCCAAAGACCAAUUGCUGUGUAGUUUCCUACUCAGGAUUCCUGAUUCUCUUCUUAAUAAAUAGUGACAUAGCAUGUUA